rnacentral:rRNA from 1 species
CCUACGGGAGGCAGCAGUGAGGAAUAUUGGUCAAUGGGCGGGAGCCUGAACCAGCCAAGUCGCGUGAGGGAAGACGGUCCUAUGGAUUGUAAACCUCUUUAGGCGGGGAGCAAUGCCGGGCACGCGUGCCCGGAGGGAGAGUACCCGCCGAAUAAGCAUCGGCUACCUCCGUGCCAGCAGCCGCGGUAAUACGGGGGAUGCGAGCGUUAUCCGGAUUGAUUGGGUUUAAAGGGUGCGUAGGCGGAUUUUUAAGUCAGCGGUAAAAUGUCCGGGCUCAACCUGGGCCGGCCGUUGAGACUGGGGAUCUUGAGUGGGCGAGAAGUAUGCGGAAUGCGUGGUGUAGCGGUGAAAUGCAUAGAUAUCACGCAGAACUCCGAUUGCGAAGGCAGCAUACCGGCGCCCGACUGACGCUGAGGCACGAAAGCGUGGGGAUCAAACAGGAUUAGAUACCCCGGUAGUC